rnacentral:rRNA from 1 species
UACGUAGGGUGCAAACGUUGUUCGGCAUUACUGGGCGUAAAGCGCGUGUAGGCUGCUCCGAAAGUCAGGUGUGAAAGCCCCGGGCUCAACCUGGGAAGUGCACUUGAAACCUCGGAGCUUGAAUGUCGGAGAGGGCAGCGGAAUUCUCGGUGUAGAGGUGAAAUUCGUAGAUAUCGAGAGGAACACCUGUGGCGAAGGCGGCUGCCUGGACGACGAUUGACGCUGAGACGCGAAAGCGUGGGGAGCAAACAGG